UUUAUAAAUACAUUUUUUUCUAGACUUUUGUUGUUAAAGUUUUGAUCAGUAUUUCAAAUUAGCAUUUCAGGUUGCAGCUCAAACGAUUGUACAGAUCACUGAUUCUACCAUUCUUGUGAUACCUCUGGUUUUAAUCUUGUUCAAAACCGGCUGUUUCAGUGUCUGUAGCUUAAAAUCCAUCAACUGAGCUGCUGCUGUCCUCACCCUGUUCAGUAAGAGGGCCUUAGACACACCUUUCUCUGCACGUAGUCUGCGUAUGUUUCAAUACCCAUACUGUAUAUCAUGCUAUAAGAAGAUUUAGUAUUUUUCAGUAUAUAAUAUACAGUCUGCCAAAAGUAUGUGGAUGUCCGACUACAUUUGGUUUCAUUUUGAAGAAUGGAAGCCAGCAUGUGACAUUGUCACAUCACAACAGGCUGUAAACUUGAACGACUCACUCAGAGUCACGAUUUCUGAUUUAUAGAAAUGAGGGGAUGGUCUUUUUACUUCUGUUCUGGAUGGCUGCAGACACUGAAGACGCAUAAUUAUUUACAAAUGAAAUGAAAAACUGGAUUUUGCUUAACCCUUUAAAGGGCACUCUUUCAAAUACUUUGAAAUGGCUGCUGCAGCCAAUGAUGCGAUUCACAUACGUUUUUUAUAUGACUGUAUAUAAUGGUAUUUACGCAGCUGAUCAACGUCACGCGUCCUUAUGUGUAGCCAUCGUUGUUCUCAUAGAUAUGAAUGAGUAGAUAGGACACGCCCCUUUGAGCUGCGUGCUACAGCGAGGCUAAGCUAGUGGGGGAAAAGUUUCAGUGCAUUCUGUUGAUGUAGACGGCGUGAAAACGGAAACAACAAGUAUGCCGGCUCACUGUGCUGCAUACAGUUAUACACUACGUCGUACGACUGAGACAAGGAAACUUGGAAUGACUUUUCAUAGGUUUCCCAGAGACUAUGGGUUGAGGAGGAAGUGGAAGUUUGUCGGCUUAGACCUGGUGUCAUUCCAUCAGUGUUAAACUUCCCGGCUCAUCUUGGAAGAGUAAGUGCCAGAAAGACCACGACCAAGCAGCCUUGAGAUCUUAGGCAGUGUCUCCCUGAGGUCCCUCUCUAUCUCCCCACACAUCCACCAACCACUGGAACACAUCUCCAAAGUUCUGCCAGGCCAGCUCAGCUUCCCCUCAGAAGAACUGCCUCCACCUGCCAGAUGAAGGAGCCUUUUGAGAGGCAACUGGCAUCAUGAUUGGACUGUACUUUGGUCUGUUCCAAUCCAGCUUCAGCUCCAGAGACAGCAGGCGGGACGAGUCAACGGAGGCUGGGUGGACGAAGGCAUGCAGCUGAGUACAAUCCAGAAAACAACAGAGGAGGAGUGCAGCAGCCCAGAGCCAGAACAAGCAGAGUAGCAUCACCAAAGAACUACAGACUCUUCACAACCUGCUCAAACUCUUGGUACAGGACCUCACCACACGGGUCAAGAAGGUUUCUGUCUCAUUUCUACUCUGAAGAUCACCUUCUCCUGCUCAAACUACUGACAAAUGUUUCUGCUGCUCUAAAGUCUGGAAUCCAGAACUUCCUAAAAACUCUCAAAGUCUCUUCUGCUGCAGGUUGCUUUGUAGAACUAUUCCAGAAAACCUCACUAAACCACAUGGAGGGGCCUCAAGAUAGUCGUCCAAAUGAAACCAUACAAAAACCAAACUAGCACAACCCAAACGCUAAAGUCUCCUGCAGCCUACCAGAGAACCUCUGAGAACAGAGAAUCAGGACAGGAACUCUUACCUUCUGGACAACCAACGCUGGUUCUCAAACAAGAAUACAGAAUGUGUCUGACCAGAAACCUCUAAAGACUCACUACAGCCAAGAUAAAGACACAACUCAGCUGUACCAAAUCCACUAAUCACUGCACACAUUAGCACCAUGUGCUAACUGUGGCUAAAGAACCACAUUUACCAAGACAACUAUCCAGUACAAAGCCCUAAAACACACCAAGAAACACAUUAAAGACGAUUUUACUGCUGGAAGCUGCAAGUCAAAGCCUAAAGAACAAACUAAAGCAAUGGAGCCAAACCAGGUUCUGUGGUGAAGAGAAGCAGAGGAAAUGUUUGUCUGCAGCUAAAUAAAGCAGGAAGACACUGAGCUGCUCAGGUGUUCCUGAUAACACCAAGCAGCCACCUGGACAGCCAAUAGGAACACAGCUUACUGGAAGUCCAGAGGGCUGGGUUAGUGAAGGAAAUUUAAUUCAAAGUUGAAGCAGAAAGUUAAUAAAGAAAGUUGAAAACCA